rnacentral:rRNA from 1 species
AUUGAACGCUGGCGGAAUGCUUUACACAUGCAAGUCGAACGGCAGCACGGGAGCUUGCUCCUGGUGGCGAGUGGCGAACGGGUGAGUAAUGCGUCGGAACGUACCGAGUAAUGGGGGAUAACGCAGCGAAAGCUGUGCUAAUACCGCAUACGCCCUGAGGGGGAAAGUGGGGGAUCGCAAGACCUCACGUUAUUCGAGCGGCCGACGUCUGAUUAGCUAGUUGGUGGGGUAAAGGCCUACCAAGGCGACGAUCAGUAGCGGGUCUGAGAGGAUGAUCCGCCACAUCGGGACUGAGACACGGCCCGGACUCCUACGGGAGGCAGCAGUCGGGAAUAUUGGACAAUGGGCGCAAGCCUGAUCCAGCAAUACCGCGUGUGUGAAGAAGGCCUGCGGGUUGUAAAGCACUUUCAGUUGGGAAGAUAAUGACGUUACCAACAGAAGAAGCACCGGCUAACUCCGUGCCAGCAGCCGCGGUAAAGUAGU